GAAGGAGAACACGAAGUGAGGCAUGGGA
rnacentral:piRNA from 1 species